rnacentral:rRNA from 1 species
UACGGAGGGUGCAAGCGUUAUCCGGAUUCACUGGGUUUAAAGGGUGCGUAGGUGGAAUGGUAAGUCAGUGGUGAAAUCUCCAAGCUUAACUUGGAACUGCCGUUGAUACUAUCAUUCUUGAAUAUCGUGGAGGUGAGCGGAAUAUGUCAUGUAGCGGUGAGAUGCUUAGAUAUGACAUAGAACACCGAUUGCGAAGGCAGCUCACUACGCGAUUAUUGACACUGAGGCACGAAAGCGUGGGGAUCAAACAGG